rnacentral:rRNA from 1 species
UACGUAGGGGGCUAGCGUUGUCCGGAUUUAUUGGGCGUAAAGAGCGUGUAGGCGGCCAGGUAGGUCCGCUGUGAAAGUCCGAGGCUCAACCUCGGAAUGUCGGCGGAAACCCUCUGGCUAGAGUCCGGAAGAGGAGAGUGGAACUCCUGGUGUAGCGGUGAAAUGCGCAGAUAUCAGGAAGAACACCAAUGGCGAAGGCAGCUCACUGGGACGGUACUGACGCUGAGACGCGAAAGCGUGGGGAGCAAACAGG